rnacentral:tRNA from 1 species
GAUGGUGUAGCUCAGUGGUUGAGCAAUUGCCUAGCAUGUGUGAGGCUUUCAGCUCAAUUCUCAGCACCAUCA